CCUACGGGGGGCAGCAGUGGGGAAUAUUGCACAAUGGGGGAAACCCUGAUGCAGCGACGCCGCGUGAAUGAAGAAGUAUUUCGUUAUGUAAAGCUCUAUCAGCAGGGAAGUAAAUGACGGUACCUUAUUAUGAAGCCCCGGCUAACUACGUGCCAGCAGCCGCGGUACUACGUAGGGGGCAAGCGUUAUCCGGAUUUACUGGGGGUAAAGGGAGCGUAGACGGCAGCACAGGACUGGAGUGAAAUGCCGGGGCUUAACCCCGGAACUGCUUUGGAAACUGUGCAGCUAGAGUGCAGGAGAGGUAAGUGGAAUUCCUAGUGUAGCGGUGAAAUGCGUAGAUAUUAGGAGGAACACCAGUGGCGAAGGCAGCUUACUGGACUGUAACUGACGUUGAGGCUCGAAAGCGUGGGGAGCAAACAGGAUUAGAUACCCGGGUAGUC
rnacentral:rRNA from 1 species